UCGUGAUACAUCGGCUAUCUCGGAUUCCUCCGUAAGAUAGGCCUCGUGGCUAACGGUCGCCAUAUUGCCUUGUAUUACUACUUUACUACCCAAAAGGUUGUCAGUCUAUUGUUAUGAGGCUGUAUACGAUGCGCGUUGAACUAGCGCCAAACUUUUUACCGAAACUUUGAUAUAAAUAGCACUAUUAACGUUCAUUUGUGUUGCAUUUUGACCUAUUAUCCAAGUGAUUUACUUUUCCAUUAUUAUUUAAUCACCCAAUCAUCCAAUUUUUAAGAUGAAAUUACGGUGUUUACAAAACCAACCAAACCGAAAGUGAAACUGGAUGCAUUACGUUUCGCGAUGUAAACAUUAAAUAUUUGUUCAGUUUGAGGAAGCGAAUCGAUAAUAGACGUUGAAAUAUGUAUGCAAUACAGACUAUCAUUGCCGAUUGUAGUACUGGCUAAAAAAUACCUUUUAUGACAGGUAUACUGGAUUAUGAAAGACUGAUAAAAAUAAAAUUGACAACUCAUCUCCCCAACGAUACUUUGUGUGGCUCAUUCUCGGAACAAACCCAUAGUCAGUGAGAAAACUACAGUGUAAAAAGACCACUUGAUUGUGACAAUUAUGGCUGACCAAGCAAAUGUUAUCAUUUAAAAUAAAGAAAACUUCCAGUUCAAUA